UUUUGCCUACGGGAGGCAGCAGUGGGGAAUCUUCCGCAAUGGGCGAAAGCCUGACGGGGCAAUGCCGCGUGAGUGAAGAAGGCCUUCGGGUUGUAAAGCUCUGUCUUCAGGGACGAUAAUGACGGUACCUGAGGAGGAAGCCACGGCUAACUACGUGCCAGCAGCCGCGGUAAUACGUAGGUGGCGAGCGUUGUCCGGAUUUACUGGGCGUAAAGGGAGCGUAGGCGGACUUUUAAGUGAGAUGUGAAAUACUCGGGCUCAACUUGAGUGCUGCAUUUCAAACUGGAAGUCUAGAGUGCAGGAGG
rnacentral:rRNA from 1 species